rnacentral:rRNA from 1 species
AGUGAACGCUGGCGGUAGGCCUAACACAUGCAAGUCGAACGGCAGCACAGUAAGAGCUUGCUCUUACGGGUGGCGAGUGGCGGACGGGUGAGGAAUACAUCGGAAUCUACUUUUUCGUGGGGGAUAACGUAGGGAAACUUACGCUAAUACCGCAUACGACCUACGGGUGAAAGCAGGGGAUCUUCGGACCUUGCGCGAUUGAAUGAGCCGAUGUCGGAUUAGCUAGUUGGCGGGGUAAAGGCCCACCAAGGCGACGAUCCGUAGCUGGUCUGAGAGGAUGAUCAGCCACACUGGAACUGAGACACGGUCCAGACGCCUGCGGGAGGCAGCAGUGGGGAAUAUUGGACAAUAGGCGCAAGCCUGAUCCAGCCAUACCGCGUGGGUGAAGAAGGCCUUCGGGUUGUAAAGCCCUUUUGUUGGGAAAGAAAAGCAGCAGGUUAAUACCCCGCUGUUCUGACGGUACCCAAAGAAUAAGCACCGGCUAACUUCGUG